rnacentral:rRNA from 1 species
GAUGAACGCUGACAGAAUGCUUAACACAUGCAAGUCUUUGGCGAAGCUGUGCUCGCACAGCCUAGCCAAGGCGGACGGGUGAGUAACGCGUAAGGAACUUGCCCUGCAGUCAGGGAUAACAGACGGAAACGACUGAUAAGACCUGGUAAAGUCAGGCGGACUCAUGUCCAGCCUGAUGAAAAGAGAUGCUGCAGGAGAGCCUUGCGUCCUAUUAGCUUGUUGGUGGGGUAACGGCCCACCAAGGCGAUGAUAGGUAGCCGGCCUGAGAGGGUGGACGGCCACAAGGGGACUGAGAUACGGCACUUACUCCUACGGGAGGCAGCAGUGGGGAAUAUUGGACAAUGGGGGCAACCCUGAUCCAGCAAUUCUGUGUGCACGAUGAAGGUUUUCGGAUUGUAAAGUGCUUUCAGCAGGGAAGAAAAAAAUGACGGUACCUGCAGAAGAAGCGACGGCUAAAUACGUG